ensembl:snRNA U2 U2 spliceosomal RNA
AUCGCUUCUCGGCCUUUUGGCUAAGAUCAAGUGUAGUAUCUGUUCUUAUCAGUUUAAUAUCUGAUACGUCCCCUACCCGGGGACUACAUAUUAAAUUGAUUUUUGGAUCACGGAGCUGGAGCCGGGGCUUGCUCUGUCCACUCCACGCAUCGGCCUGGUAUUGCAGUGUCUCCAGGAACGGUGUGCUUCCC